GCUGGGAUAGCUCAGUUGCUAGAGCGUGAGUCUCUCAAUCUCAGAGUUGUAGGUUUGAGCCCCAUGUUGGGUA